rnacentral:lncRNA from 1 species
AAAAGUAAUAAGGGAAAAAAAUGUGAUAUAAACUUAUGGAGACUUUAUAAUAUAAAAUUUUCAUUUCUUUAUAUAGUUUGGGAAUUGUUAAAUUCAUAAUAAAAAUUAUUAUUUUCACAAUAAAAAUAUCGUUAUAGAUUCUAUAAAGACGAUUUUCACCGUCGCUAUACAUUUACAACGACAUUUUUAUUCUGAAAAUAACAAUUUCUAUUGUAAAUUUAACAAUUAUCUACAAUUUUCGUUUAUUCAAUUCAUUUUUGCUUCAAGUCAAGAUAAUGUUACCAGCAGCAGUACGUGGAGUCUGUAAACCACAAGGUAGAAUUUAGAAGCACCAUACAAUAAUAAACCCGCACGCGUAAAAUUCACAUCCAUUCAUUCAAUACCCAAGAGAUAAAAUCAAAACUUACAAAUAAAAUAAAGGCUAAUCUCCUCAAUCAUCAUCUCACUCACUUCUCGCCCAAAAUCAUCCUCCUCCUAUAUGGGUAUGGCUGUGUUUAAUUUGUUUUAGCUCUCGCUUCUCUUCAAUCUACUUUCACGCUCAGACUUGGGCAUUUGGCCGGCGACUCACAGCGUCAGCUCGUUUCCGGCGCCCUGCAGCCGUAUCGAGUGCCCGACCUACGACUUGAUUCAGGCCGGAGAUGGCUACGAAAUUCGACGCUACAAUUCCAGCAUAUGGUCUUCAACUUCUUCCAUUCAAGACAUUUCCCUUCUUAAAGCCACCAGAACUGGCUUCUUGCAGUAGGACAUCGAUCUUUCCCUAUACCCGUUUCCAAUAUCUUUUAUAGUUUAUCAAUUUGUUUGAUUUUUUAGUUUAUCAUGCAUGGGUUCUGCAGUUUCGCAAUUUUAUCAUUUAACUAUUAAUUGUAGUUAUCAUGCAUGGGUUCCGCUUUUGCUUCAGCACACUUCCACUUUACCACCUAUUGGGCUCAUCCUUUUAAAUUGAUCUGGAUACAUAAUUUGCCUGCGCUUUUUUUUUUUCCUUCUUUCUCUCUUGCAAAACAAUCCUGGAGUACUUUAUAAAGGUUAGCGGUAGAAUUCACAUAAAGGUUAGCGGUAGAACUUCCAUUUCCCCAUCAAUAAGAGAUUUAUGUAGAGUAACAUUUUGGACAUCAAAUUAGCCACUUCAAAAGAAAGAAUUCCAAUGGUUUCUUUUGGCUCUUGCUUUUUAUUCCUUUUUUAGAAGUUUCAAGGAGAAGGGCAUGACUUUUAGCAAAAAUCAAGCCAAAACUUUUUAAUACUAUAAUACAGGGUAACAUUCUUUUCGUUUCUUAGAAAAAUGAAUUAAUUGUCUUGCUAAAGAGUGGAAAUCCAGGAAGUCUUCUUAGCUAAUGCUAAUUUUGCCAACACUUUGAAGUGCAAACAAGGAUUCCCCACAGAUUACAGUUAUCAUGCACUCUAAACAACAAGAAGUCCCCAAACAUGCAUUACACUAUAUAUCAAAGCAUUGCCAAAAUGUCAAACAAAUAUUCGAAGUGGUGUACAAUUUAUUACAGGUUAUUUAUUAUGCAUCACUACAAAAAUUUCUUUACAUAUUAUGAACUAUGAAUUUAGAUUAUGAUUGAAAAUUUUUACAUAAUGCUAGAUUUUUCCUUAUCUAAGAUAAAAAACAAUCUCACACUAAGAUAACUAAACUGAAAAAAAACCCGGUGACUGUUUAAAAAUCUCACUGUUUUUGGUCUAAUUUAUAAGAAAAACUAAUACAGGCUAGAUGUAUCCCAUAAUUAUUACUGCACAGCUUAAGCAGUCUUGAAAAAUGUAGUAAUAAUUAACAAAGGCAGUUAGAACUUAGAACCAGUCAGUCUAUCAAAAGGAAAGAUUGAAUUUUGACAUUGAACCCAAUAAAAAAAGAAAGGAAGAUUGAAAUCAAUAUAUAUAUACACGCAGGUCUAGCUCUUAAUUUCCUCCAAAAAAAAUUUCAAGAGACAACUCAAAAAUAGAAUAAAACAAAUAGUCUGUUAUACAUUAAUGAAAGUAUACACACGAUAAUCUCUUCAAAUAAUAAUUAGAAUAAUCAAAUUAGAAGGAUUACCAAUCGUAACUAAAAAUUACUGGAAAGAGGCCCUUAAGAUAAUUAGAAUAAUCAACUUAUU